UACGGAGGGGGCUAGCGUUGUUCGGAAUUACUGGGCGUAAAGCGCACGUAGGCGGAUGCUUAAGUCAGGGGUGAAAUCCCGGGGCUCAACCCCGGAACUGCCUUUGAUACUGGGUGUCUGGAGGUCGAGAGAGGCGAGUGGAAUUCCGAGUGUAGAGGUGAAAUUCGUAGAUAUUCGGAGGAACACCAGUGGCGAAGGCGGCUCGCUGGCUCGAUACUGACGCUGAGAAGCGAAAGCAUGGGGAGCGAACAGG
rnacentral:rRNA from 1 species